ensembl:lncRNA novel transcript
GACAAAGUGAGGAAGGCAUUCCAGGCAGUCAACAGCAGGCAUGAUACUCCAGAGUGAGAGAAACUCAAGUGUCCUGGGGUGCAGUCAUGAUUAACCUUCAACAAGGAGAGGUUUGGCCCUUAUCCCCAGCUCCCAGGAGGCAACCUCUAAGCCCUUGGAAUUGCCUCCCUGAUAAGAGUGCGUUUAUUUACCUGGGGGCCUUGGGCCCCACCAGAUAGUCUCUGCUAACAAUGUGACCUAUGGGGGGCCCUUGGACCAAGUGGUAUCAGCUUGACCUCUGCAGGGGCUGGAAACCAGGAUCAGCCAACUGGGCGGCCAGCCAUGUCUGGGUGACCAGCCCCUAGUAGAAACCUUGGACACCAAUGCUCAGGUGAUGCCAAAGUACAAAAUCAGGUUUUCAGACACUUAAUACCUAGUUAGCAAUAACAACUGAUUCCAAUGGGAAGAUACCACAUGGUGCUUCGCCUUGUUAAUAACACCUGCUAGCAAGCCACAUCUUGAAUGACAAAGCUGAUCUGGGGGCCAAGUUUGGUGCUGUUUGCUCCAGGGGCCCGAACUGCAGGUCAGGACCUGCUCACAUGGCCUUUCCCUGUCACCAGCAGCUCACACUGGCUGACAGUGUGGAGUCCAGUGGCCUGGACUCCCUCCAGGCCAGACGCCUCCAGCCCUCACUGUGCAGUCAGGAGGCUUUUCUUCCCCUUUUCUAAGGGCUGCGGUCUCCCAAAGGCGCCCAGCUGGUG